rnacentral:rRNA from 1 species
GAGUAUACUCUCUUAGCUCUAUAUAUAACCCGGUGGUUCGUCCAGAGUCUAGCUCCACCCAUUAGCAUAGCAUCCAUCUCCGGCCAGCAAACACAAACGAGCUUCUCUUUCUCCUCCUCGGGUUCAGGGUAAUUGGCCGGAGUUGAAGACGAAGCCGGCGGUGAAGACACGAGGGGGAUCAUCAGUUCAUCACAGAGAUCGAACGGCCAUGUGUAACAACAGCGGUGGCCGCGGCGGGGCGAGGGCGGCGAGGAAGGGGCCGUGGGCGGAGAACGAGGACGCCCAACUGGUCUCCGGCGCACCGGCAAGAGCUGCCGCCUCCGCUGGGUCAACUACCUCCACCCGGGGCUCAAGCGGGGACGCAUCACCGCCGACGAGGAGCGGCUCAUCCUCAGCCUCCACGCCGAGUGGGGGUCCCGGUGGUCCAGGAUCGCCAGGAAGCUCCCCGGCCGCACCGACAACGAGAUCAAGAACUACUGGAGGACGCACAUGAGGAAGAAGGCCCAGGAGGAGAAGAUGCUGGCCAAGAAGAAGGCUGUCGCGGAGGCCUCCUCCUCGACCACGUCGCUGACGACGACGACCUGCUCGGCCUCCGCCACGGCCACGUCGUCCAGGGCGGCCACCACCGAGGCGCCGCAGGAAAGUGGUACAAGCAUGGACGACGAGGCCGAGGAGGAGGCCACCACGUCGGUGAGCGAAGAGAACAAGGCGGAGGUGGUGCAGUACUGCUCCGCCGUGGACAUAGACCAGCUGUGGAAUGACAUCGCGGCGUCGGAGAGCUACCCGGAGAUGAUGAUGAGCUGGGGCUCAGCCGGAAACGUCGCUGUCGCCGCCCCCGUGGAGCCAUCGUCGCCGGUGUGGGAGUUCUGCGAGGAUUACUCCCUGUGGAGGAUCGACGACCACGAGUACUACAACAAGAUUGAUCAACACGCUCUGAAUUGAGAGGAUUUAAUUACGUUUCUCUUGUUGUUCUUGUUCUUGAUUCCUAGCUAGCUAGCUUUAUUGCACUACUUGUAUUACUAUAUACUAAUUCAUGCAUGUAAUUAUAUGUAAAACUCGAGUUGUGAGAUUAUAUUAGUGACAGCUAGCUUUUUGUGCACAUGUGUAAGUCACUAAUUAUCAUAUUUCUGGAGAAUCUGUUGCAAAUUAAACUUGUCAAAAUCAAAGAUAGUGAACUAGAAGUUCUCUUCUGCUUAAUUAAUCGAU